CAUGUGUAAGCGAAGCUUUUAGCGGAGCGGUGAAAGGCUCAGUAACGGGCGAUUUAUUUGAUCUCCUGGGACGGACAACAUCGGGAAACUGAUGGGAAAACGUCUAAGUUGCAGUUAGAUGAUUGUGACGUAAACCAUAUGGGUGCAGGAGAGUAAGAUGCCAUCCUAUCAGUUAGUAAGUAGGGUAAGUGCCUACUUAGACGAAGACGGGUACGGGGAAUGAGGGUUUGAUUCCGGAGAGGGAGCCUGAGAGAUGGCUACCAGGACCAAGGUCAGCAGCAGGCGCGAAAAUUAUCGAAGCCCGCCGAGGGGCGAUAGUGAGGAGACGUGUAUAACGAAGUGCGUGUAAAGAACGUGCUAAUAACUGGAGGUCAAGUCUGGUGCCAGCAUCCGCGGUAAUUCCAGCUCCAGGGGUGUCUAUGAUGAUUGCUGCGAUUAAAAAGUCCGUAGUCAAUCUGACUGACUGGCCUGCAAUGUGAUUGAUUAAAGAACGAGCAGGGCUAGGAAAGCAGAGAAUUAGGAGCGACCGGAGGGCUAGAGUAUUGAAUGGCGAGAGGUGAAAUUUGAUGACCCAUUCAGGAGUGACAAAGGCGAAGGCACUAGUCAAGGGCGAAUCCGAUGAUCAAGGACGUAGGCUAGAGUUUCGAAAACGAUUAGAGACCGGAGUAGUUCUAGCAGUAAACUAUGCCGACACCGUGGUAUCUAAUUUUAACAGGUAUUGCGGAAGAGAAAUCAAGUAACGCUUUGGGGAGAGUACGCGCGCAAGCGAUAAAUUUAAAGGAAAUUGACGGAGGAACACCACAAGGAAUGGAGUGUGCGGCUUAAUUUGACUCAACGCGGGACAGCUUACCAGGCCCGAUAAUCGAGCGAGCGUAGUACGCGAUAGGUUAAAGAGUGGUGCAUGGCUGCUAUCGACAGUUGGGGUGACCUUAGGGUUAAUUCCGGCAAGUAGUGAGACCCCUGCAGAUAGUGGACAGGUAUUUUUAAGAUACAGGAAGGAAGGGACAAGAGCAGGUCAGUGAUGCCCUUAGAUGGCCUGGGCUGCACGCGCACUACAGUGGUCAUUAUAAGAUGAAGUUAGAAGUAAAGAUGAUCGAGAGGGACUGAGCUUUGUAAGAGGCUCACGAACGAGGAAUUGCUAGUAAUCGUAGGCUCAUUAAGAUACGAUGAAUAUGUCCCUGUACCUUGUACACACCGCCCGUCGUUAUCGAAGAUGGAAUUGUGUGCGAACGAGCAUCAAGCGAGUGAGCGCAUAGUUCUAGACGUGAUAAAAGUCGUAACAAGGUAAC
rnacentral:rRNA from 1 species